GGCUGUGCGUCCACCAACCUUGGAUCUGCAGCAUCCAAAGCUGACCCUCUGCCGCAGGGUAUACAACAGGUGGACACACAGUC
rfam:Drosophila melanogaster chromosome 2R.